CUGACAGCUUCUCCUGGUAGGGCUGGGAGAGACUCCUGCCUGAAAGGAGAAGCUUGGAGAAGCUGCAGCCAGUAACGGUAGACAUGGAGAAUGGUCUCACCCAAUAUAAGGCAUAGAUUGGUCUCACCCAACAACCUAGUCUGCCCAUCCCAUCAGGGGUCAUGUGAUUUGGUUUAGAAUCUUCGAAAGUCGGUGCCAGCAUUGCGGAAGUCAGCUGACCUGUGCAGCUGUUGUGUUGGUAGACGCAUAUGAACAACUUGGUAGACUGACCACAUGGAAAACAGCAUGUAGCCAAAGAUUCUGCAAUCCCUGAAUCAACACAGCAAGACGAAGGAGGAGGCAACGCUGGGAGGAGAAGGCAACGCUGCAAGGGCUGAACUUCUUGGCAAAUAUGCCCAGAUGGCACCGCACCCUCGCAGAGAGAGAAGGUCAGCUAGCUGAAUAUUUAAAAAAGAAAAGGAUUCUUGUACAACUAUCCAGUCUCCUGUGCCCUGUGCUUCAGGGCUUUUGCCCUAAAAGUCAACACCUCAAGUGGCAACUUUGCUGAGGUCAGGAGGAACCUCAUUUCACCAUGAGCAGUGCCACACUGAAAGCCACCCAUGGCCCCAGUUCAUGCUGAACCUACAAUUGGCAUGUUCACAAAACAGUGCAGUGGGAAAAGAGGCCCAAUAGGGCAGGAGUUUCUUAGCAGUGGGCAGCAGCACCCAUAGGCCACCCAUAAUUCUAGGAGAGCUGGUCUUGUCGUAGCAAGCAUGACUUGUCCCCUUAGCUAAGCAGGGUUCACCCUCGUUGCAGAUGAAUGGGAGACUAGAAGUGUGAGCACUGUGAGAUAUUCCCCUCAGGGGAUGGAGCCGCUCUGGGAAGAGCAUCUAGGUUCCAAGCUCCCUCCCUGGCAGCAUCUCCAAGAUAGGGCUGAGAAAGAUUCCUGCCUGAACCUUGGAGAAGCCAUUGCCAGUCUGUGUAGACCAGGGAUUCUCAGUGUUGGGUCUUUAAAUGCUAUUGGACUUCAACUCCCAUAAACCCCAACCAAAGGCCACUGGGACUGGAGAUUAUGGGAGUUGAAGUUCAAUAACAUCUGGGAUCAUCUGGGGAUUCUUAACACAAUAAUGUUGAGAAUCCCUGGUGUUGACAAUACUGAGCUAGAUAGACCAAUGGUCUGACUCAGUAUAUGGCAGCUUCCUAUGUUCCUAUGACACUGUUAAGGGAACCACAGUGACCCCACUGCAUGGAGGAUGCGACUGAACGAGUGCACCAAUGACCUUUACUGCUGCUGCUUCUAUGGCUUCUCACAAAGUGCCUGCAUGUAUGCACAUUACAGUCUGAUUACGGUAUACACGUUCUUCUGCCCCAGACCCAAUGCGGUAUGCUCACAGGCAGCUCCUGGAAAUUUUUCACACCCGGCAUUUUGUCCGCACCUCCUCCACAAUGGAGUGUGCACAUUCACAUAUCAGUCAAAUUUACCCUGAAAUCUCUGUGAGCUAUCAGGUAGUACGCCACACACAAUUCAGGUUUUUCAUUGGCCAUUAAGGAUGUAGCCUGAUUUAUAUCCAGGGUUAAAAAAAUCCAUAUUUUUUGCAUUGGUUUUUGGGGGCUACUUCGAACUCGCAGUAAAGCCUUGCAGAAACCUUGCGUUAAAGCCUUCUGUUUAGAAAAGCUCCUACCCUUUUCAGAAACUCCUGGGUGCUUUCCAGGUUACACGCUAUAACAGCGGUAGUUUACUGUGGCUCUUUUUUUGGGGCAAUGUUUGGCAAUGUUGUAGCACCGCAACGCAAAGAUAAAGCCCGAAAGAAGGCAUCGGGAAUGCGAACGGCACCUUGCUGGCAGUGCAGGGACUGCGAUGUCAAAACACAGGCAGUACAGAAGCACACUUAAUGGACAUGUAGUGACACUGCCGUAGCGUGUCAUCUGGAAAGCAGCCUGGCAAACUGUGUCCUGCACAUAGGCAUUUCCUAAAGCGAGACUGUGCUGCUCACAUGUAGCAACGGAGAUCAGGCAUUGAGAUUGCUAGACUGGGACAUGGGGAGGCCAGACGGUUUAGGUUCUCGGUCCUCUUCUUUUCCACCCAUGCAGCCUUGUCCUCAAACCAGAAUCAGGACUUCUGCAAGGGCAGUCCUUGCAGCAUCUCCAACAGUGCUGAGUCCGUCAUCCCUUAACACCCCUUUUCUAAUCCUGCAGGUUCCAUAGGAGACACUUUGACACAGCAGGAUUAUCUAUUUGGCUGUGCAUUAGGCCUAGCGACACAGCAGUAUAAUAAUGAUGCUAAUUAAGAGUAUUCGUUAAUAUCUUUAAAUUACCUGUGUUAGCUCCCAGGCAAAACAUCCCAGUAGCAACCGCGGUGGCAUGGACCCAUUUGCAUCAGCGACUGACAUUAUGUUCAUUUCACAGUUCAUUAGAACGCUCCAGAGUGAUUGUGUCCCCAAAUUGCAAGCUAAUCCAAAAGAGCGGGGCCUGCUGUCUACUGGGUGUUUGUCCUCAACAAAGAAGUGAGCAAGGAGAAACUGUAAGGACACAUUCCAUUUAGGAAUGUAGGAAGCUUCUUUAUGCUGAGUCAGACUAUUGGUCAAUCUGGCUCAGGACUGUCUACAUCGACUGGCAGAGGCUUCUCCAAAGCUGCAAGCAGGAGUCUCGCUUAGUCCUAUCUUGGAGAUGCUGCCAGGGAGGGAACUUGGAACUUUCUGCAUGCAAGCAAGCAGGUGCUCUUCCCAGGGCAGCCCCAUCCCCUAAGGGGAAUAUCUUACAGGGCUCACAUGUCUCCCAUUCAAAUGCAAACCAGGGCAGACCCUGCUUAGCAAUGGGGACUAUUCAUGCUUGCUACCACAAGAUCACCUCUCCUCCCUUUCUUUGUUCUCCUAGGUUCCCCUGUGCCCUACAGGCACUUCCGAAGGGCCACGCUUUGUGCCCUCUUGCUAUCUGCUUGCAACACAAUAGAACUUGGAUUGUCGUCAACUUUCUUGGGGGUGUAUACAGCAGACUAUUGGCCAAGUUGUAAUUUACAGGGAGCCCCUAUGAGUAGACCGCUACCUAUGUUGGCAUGGGAGAUAUUGCAGCUAGUGCUUCUCCCAUACCGCUCUGGCAACACUGGAGGAUCUGGACAAAGAAAUUAAUCCAUGUUUUAGAGGCCUCAUUUUGCCUCCUUCCCAUGGCUGCACUGCUCAUUUGGAAACAGGAGCAACAAGAUGACCUAAUAGGCUGCUAGCCAGAGGACGAGCUAAAACCAUACAAGCCACGUUCUCACGAUGAGGACAGUCGUGGUUAAAGAGUUAACAGUGAUGGGCAAGCCACAUGAGCUCCCAUGGAUUAUGAAUUGAGAACCUGGGCACUUUCCAGAUUACAUGCUAUUCAGCAGCAGUUUACUUCGGUUUGGCAGGAUCAUCUUGAAAACCAUAAAUUAAGGGGUGUUGUGCAAAGCCACCAGCAGGAGAAGGAGUCUUUUCUAGUGUGUGAGAACCUCCUACAAUGGGAAAAUACAGCUAUUUUUUUACAAUGUUGCAGUACUGUAACGCAAAGACAAAACCCAAAAGGCGGCACUGGAAAUGUGAACGGCAUCUUGCUGACAGCACAGGGACUGUGAUGUCGAAACAAAGGCAGUACGGAAGAACACUUAAUGGACACGUAGUGACACUGUUGUAGUGUCAUCUGGAAAGUGUCUUGGAAUUCCCGGGCUAUCCCAGUUGAAUCACUGAGGUUAACCAGCAUUUACUGCAGUAGAUAACCAGGAUCAGAACUUUCUCAUCAUGAGAACACCACCACCCAAAGCUCAACCUAUGAAAUGGAAUCAAAAGCUGCCUUCAAGGCUACAAAGGCAGCAUAUAAAGAGGUCGCACCUUGUUGUUUUCGGACUCAGAGUUUGUAAUUACAGCUAUUGUUGCUAAAUGCUGUGCUGCCGCCAUAGAUAUACGUCACUGGAUGGUUAAUAAGAAAAUUUUAUUGUUUUAGUUUUUAUUAUUACUAUGUUUCCAAUAUUGUUAAAAAAAUUAAUUAAUUUUAAUUUUAACUGUUUUAAUCAUAUCUACUCUAUUUACUGCUGUAUAACUGUAAUCUUUUUAUUUUGUUUUGGCUUGUGGCCAUAACAUUAAAGGUUCUGAUUCUGAGAACAC